rnacentral:rRNA from 1 species
CACAUGCAAGUCGAGGGGCAGCAUGACCUAGCAAUAGGUUGAUGGCGACCGGCGCACGGGUGAGUAACACGUAUCCAACCUGCCGAUUAUUCCGGGAUAGCCUUUCGAAAGAAAGAUUAAUACUGGAUAGCAUAACGAGAAGGCAUCUUCUUGUUAUUAAAGAAUUUCGAUAAUCGAUGGGGAUGCGUUCCAUUAGUUUGUUGGCGGGGUAACGGCCCACCAAGACAUCGAUGGAUAGGGGUUCUGAGAGGAAGGUCCCCCACAUUGGAACUGAGACACGGUCCAAACUCCUACGGGAGGCAGCAGUGAGGAAUAUUGGUCAAUGGGCGAGAGCCUGAACCAGCCAAGUAGCGUGAAGGAUGACUGCCCUAUGGGUUGUAAACUUCUUUUAUAUGGGAAUAAAGUGAGCCACGUGUGGCUUUUUGUAUGUACCAUACGAAUAAGGAUCGGCUAACUCCGUGCCAGCAGCCGCGGUAAUACGGAGGAUCCGAGCGUUAUCCGGAUUUAUUGGGUUUAAAGGGAGCGUAGGCGGAUUAUUAAGUCAGUUGUGAAAGUUUGCGGCUCAACCGUAAAAUUGCAGUUGAUACUGGUAGUCUUGAGUGCAGCAGAGGUAGGCGGAAUUCGUGGUGUAGCGGUGAAAUGCUUAGA